rfam:Nippostrongylus brasiliensis genome assembly, scaffold: NBR_scaffold0000055
GUCCCAGUAGCAUAGUGUUUAGUGCACAGCCUUGGACAGGUUGAGACGCAGGUUCGAAUCCCGCCUGAGAUG